AUACUAUAAUGCCAAGUCCUUCCUCUUAUUAGCUGAUAGCUGUAUAUUGUGAAGUAUUGUAGAAAAAGUCUGAUGUAUCU
rnacentral:snoRNA from 1 species